GAUAAACGCUGGCGGCGUGCAUGAGACAUGCAAGUCGAACGGACGAUCGAGGCUUGCUUCGAUCGUUAGUGGCGGACGGCUGAGUAACGCGUAGGUGACCUGCCCCGAAGUGGGGAAUAACUGCCCGAAAGGGUGGCUAAUACCGCAUGUGGUGGUGUGUUCAAUCACACCAGUAAAGCCGCAAGGCGCUUCGGGAGGGGCCUGCGUCCGAUUAGCUCGUUGGUGGGGAACGGCUCACCAAGGCGACGAUCGGUAGGUGGUCUGAGAGGACGAUCACCCAGACUGGGACUGAGACACGGCCCAGACUCCUACGGGAGGCAGCAGUCGGGAAUUUUGCGCAAUGGACGAAAGUCUGACGCAGCAACGCCGCGUGAGGGAUGACGGCCU
rnacentral:rRNA from 1 species